rnacentral:rRNA from 1 species
GCUUGUCUCAAAGAUUAAGCCAUGCAUGUCUCAGUACAAGCCAAAUUAAGGUGAAACCGCGAAAGGCUCAUUAAAUCAGUUAUGGUUCCUUAGAUCGUACCCACAAUUACUUGGAUAACUGUGGUAAUUCUAGAGCUAAUACAUGCAAACAGAGCUCCGACCGGAGACGGAAGGAGUGCUUUUAUUAGAUCAAAACCAAUCGGUGGCGGGCUCGUCAUCGUACAACUUGGUGACUCUGAAUAACUUUACGCUGAUCGCACGGUCAUCGCACCGGCGACGCAUCUUUCAAAUGUCUGCCUUAUCAACUGUCGAUGGUAGGUUCUGCGCCUACCAUGGUUGUAACGGGUAACGGGGAAUCAGGGUUCGAUUCCGGAGAGGGAGCCUGAGAAACGGCUACCACAUCCAAGGAAGGCAGCAGGCGCGCAAAUUACCCACUCCCGGCACGGGGAGGUAGUGACGAAAAAUAACGAUACGGGACUCAUCCGAGGCCCCGUAAUCGGAAUGAGUACACUCUAAACCCUUUAACGAGGAUCAAUUGGAGGGCAAGUCKGGUGCCAGCAGCC